CUUUUAAUUUCUGUGACACCGUCCGCAUCAAUAUUUCAACACAUGGAAAAUGGACGACAUUUCUACUUUCUGAGGAAAUCGUGACAUACCACUGUCAAGUACGUUUGAUUCAUUCAUAAACUGUGAUAAAUUAAUUUGUUUAACUCCGAUAUUUUUGGAUAAGUGAUUUAUAAAUACAUACGAACUGUAAGUUAUUUAUUUCCGAGAAAUGAACUGUAAAUUCUACUUUCGUUUUUGACUUGAUUAAUAAUCUUGUAUUUAACUUUCAUAUUUAAUUCGUACACAUUGUAAAAUAUUGUAUUUUUAUUUCUUUCAGUUUACCAAUCUACUGACUAUUAUGUAACCCUUUCUGGUGGAAGUUAUAAUUACAAUUUCAAACAAGUUGUGUUCGUUAUAUCUUCAUCGAGAUUGCGAUUGCAGUCACCUGGUUAAGCUAGUUGAGUCCGGCUCAGCAUAGUAAAUUGACAACAACUUGUCUACACAUCUCCUGAACAGGAAAUACAACGGAGCAUCGUUCGUAGCUGUUACCUUGACACUACGCAACACAGCUUGUGCGUCCUAGGCAGCAAACCAACAAAGUUGAACAAA
rnacentral:lncRNA from 1 species